CCUACGGGUGGCAGCAGUGAGGAAUAUUGGUCAAUGGGCGUAAGCCUGAACCAGCCAAGCCGCGUGAGGGAUGAAGGUUCUAUGGGUCGUAAACCUCUUUUAUAAGGGGAUAAAGUGAGGGACGUGUCCCGUUUUGUAAGUACCUUAUGAAUAAGGAUCGGCUAACUCCGUGCCAGCAGCCGCGGUAAUACGGAGGAUCCGAGCGUUAUCCGGAUUUAUUGGGUUUAAAGGGUGCGUAGGCGGCCUUUUAAGUCAGCGGUGAAAGUCUGUGGCUCAACCAUGGAAUUGCCGUUGAUACUGGGAGGCUAGAGAAUGUUUGCGGCAGGCGGAAUGUGUGGUGUAGCGGUGAAAUGCUUAGAGAUCACGCAGAACCCCGAUUGCGAAGGCAGCCUACCAAGCCAUGACUGACGCUGAUGCACGAAAGCGUGUGGAUCAAACAGGAUUAGAUACCCCAGUAGUC
rnacentral:rRNA from 1 species